CCUACGGGCGGCACCAGUGGGGAAUAUUGGACAAUGGGCGAAAGCCUGAUCCAGCAAUGCCGCGUGUGUGAAGAAGGUCCUCGGAUUGUAAAGCACUUUCGGCGGGGACGAUGAUGACGGUACCCGUAGAAGAAGCCCCGGCUAACUUCGCGCCAGCAGCCGCGGUAAUACGAAGGGGGCUAGCGUUGCUCGGAAUGACUGGGCGUAAAGGGCGCGUAGGCGGUUUAUGCAGUCAGAUGUGAAAUCCCCGGGCUUAACCUGGGAACUGCAUUUGAGACGCAUAGACUAGAGGUCAAGAGAGGGUUGUGGAAUUCCCAGUGUAGAGGUGAGAUUCGUAGAUAUUGGGAAGAACACCGGUGGCGAUGGCGGCAACCUGGCUCGAUACUGACGCUGAGGCGCGAAAGCGUGGGGAGCAAACAGGAUUAGAUACCCUCGUAGUC
rnacentral:rRNA from 1 species